GAAGGAGAAGGGACAGCUGAGUAACAAAGUCCUGGUACGCAGACGACGAUACUAUUACACUGACAAGAGUGUAAUGAUGAUGGAGACACAAGCCAGAGAAAGGGGGGACCAAACACCAGGCCAGAAUUCUGCAUGAGUCAGAUCCAGUGGGUGCAGAUCAUCAUACAGAUGGUUCAAGUGUGGAUCCACCUAAUAUUCAAGAUUUUCUGUCCUGGGACACUCGGCUAACCAUCAAGAAAGAACACAGUAGGUUAUCAAGAAUCUGACCUCACGUUUGAUCAUUACAAAUUAUGGCAGUACAUUACACAUUUAAGGACUGUUAUUCCUCUGGCUGAUUUAAAAAUACCCAAAAGUUCUUAAAAAGAAGCAGCCCUAGUUAUUUUGGCUUGUUAAACAUAAACUAUAUAAACAUAACUAUUGCGACGCCUCCUUCUAAUGAACAGGUUUAAAUACUUUACUUAUUUCCAUGAGCACAAAUCUUAAUGCUACAGCAUAUGAUAUUCUAGAAAAAACCGUUUGAUGCUAAAUUUAUAGCAAGAGUUUUGGCAGGG